rnacentral:rRNA from 1 species
CCUACGGGAGGCAGCAGUGGGGAAUAUUGGGCAAUGGGCGCAAGCCUGACCCAGCAACGCCGCGUGAAGGAAGAAGGCGUUCGGGUUGUAAACUUCUUGUAAGAGGGAAGAGCAGAAGACGGUACCUCUUGAAUAAGCCACGGCUAACUACGUGCCAGCAGCCGCGGUAAUACGGAGGUGGCAAGCGUUGUCCGGAUUUACUGGGUGGAAAGGGCGUGCAGCCGGGAAGACAAGUCAGAUGUGAAAUCCCGCGGCUCAACCGCGGAACUGCAUUGGAAACUGUUUUUCUUGAGUACCGGAGAGUUCAUCGGCAUUCCUUGUGUAGCGGUGAACUGCGUCGCUAUCAG